rnacentral:misc_RNA from 1 species
GAUGAAGAACGCAGCGAAAUGCGAUAAGUAAUGUGAAUUGCAGAAUUCAGUGAAUCAUCGAAUCUUUGAACGCACAUUGCGCCCGCUAGUAUUCUGGCGGGCAUGCCUGUUCGAGCGUCAUUUCAACCCUUAAGCCCUGUUGCUUAGCGUUGGGAGCCUACAGUACUGUAGCUCCCCAAAGUUAGUGGCGGAGUCGGUUUCACACUCUAGACGUAGUAAUUUUUUCUCGUCUGUAGUUGAGCCGGUCCCCUGCCGUAAAACACCCAAUUUAUCAAGGUUGACCUCGGAUCAGGUAGGAAUACCCGCUGAACUUAAGCAUAUCAAUAAGCGGAGGA